AGCACAUUGUAUAUAAAAUAAUUUAUUUUAAAAACAGAUAGUUUGAAGACCAAAUUAAGACAAAUUAGGUGUCAUGAAAUUUUCCCCAUUUUGAAUACAUACAUCGCACUAUAUCUGCAAUAGCUAAGUUUGUCAUGUUUUUACAAAUGAAGAGUUAAUAUGCAGUUAACAAAAUGCUUAGCCUUUUUCUAGAACAAUCUACUAAUGCUGUAUUACUUUAAAUUAAACACACAUAGAACUUACAAAAAUCCACGUGGUAACAACCGGUUCAUUGUCUUCAUAAAUUUUGUCGUCUGCAAAAAAAUCAUGGAAAGGAGAAAAAGACUAUAAAGUAUAUUAAGCUUAAGUAGAAUACAUCUUUCACACAUCAUUUCACAUGAACCUCGAAUUCAUUUUUCCAUAUGCUUGGAAAAAUAAAAAAUAAAAUAAAAUAAAUUUAAGUCGGACAAUGUCUAAGUAGGUGUUGUGCAUGCUAAUCAAAUUACCGAAAAGUAAAAAUUGCUUUAAAGGGACUACAUUUAGAGGCAUACCUACUUUAAGAAAUUAGGAUUUUCCUUCCUAUGCUUUUACUUCACAAAAUGCCCAAAAAACAAAAAAUAAAAAUAAUAAAAAUAAAAAACACCUAGUUAAUAAAAUUGGUUCCAAAAAAAAUAUAACCCAUCACGAAAUCCCAUGUUUAUGCCAGCUCUAAAUUUUAUAGUAAGGCCUAAAAUGUAAUUGAAGUUAAACCCAUAGCUAUAUUUAUUCAUUUAAUUAUUGUUUUCACAUGACCUCGGGCAUGUAGACUAAACUUAUUUUAUCAUCCCGAGUCUUGAACAAAAUUAAUAAAUGAAAGGUUACGACCUUUGUCUACUUUGAUCGAAAUUAAGCUUUUUUCCUUUAAUCUCAAACCAAUAUACAAUUGAAACACGAUCUUUCAGAUUCUGAAUGAGAGAUCCUGAAUUGAAACAAAUGGCACACAAAUAUGUUCUCCCAAUCUAAGGUUUUAUCCAUUGGAUAUGUUAGAAAGUCAACUUUGCACCCAGUUAAGUACUUGUAAACAAAACAAGCUAUAUCCAUGAAGUAAAGAUUCUUGUGAGCCAAAAUAAAAUAAAAUAAAGGGGUUCUAAAUUCAGAAAUAUGUUUAGUCCCACUUUAAUAGGCUAACAUAGUAUUGGAAUAGAUGAUAGAGUUCAUGUUUUGCUAUCACUCAUUUAUGAAAAAUUAUCACGUUUCAUACCUUUAAUGAACUAUAUUUUAGCAUGCAUGUGAGAACUUUGUGUUGAAAGACUAAAGUUGAGUAAACAAUGCAGUUAAUAUAAAUGAAUUUUUUUCUCAGUAG
rnacentral:lncRNA from 1 species